GUGCUGGUCGGAGGGCCUGUUCUACAAUGCAGCGCCUGGAGGAGCAGGGGGACUGACUUCAGUGAGGCAAUAGGAGGGGGGACAAAUCAACACGGUGUGGAAGCCCUGAGGAGUGGUCAGGGAGGGCUUCUCGGAAGAGGAAGCCUCCAAGCCACGGAGCCAAGGGUUGUUCAGGUAUUAGUGAGGUGAAUGGAAGCGUGUCAGGAAGAGUCUUUUAGGAAACAGGGAGACGGGAACGACUUGGGAGAAGGGAGAGGAGGUGGUCCUGAGGACAAGCUGUCUGCUCCACAGGAAUAUUCCUGGACCAUUCUCGGGAGAGAGAGCCACGGGGGCAUUUUAAGCCUAGAAAUGACACCAUCCAACUUGUAUUUUGGGAAAGAUUCCAUCUACUCCUUUCUGAAGAAGCCUCGACUCCACUCAGCAAUGUCUACUUUGCUUCUUUUUAGUAACCUUUCUUCCUUCACCAUGAAUC
ensembl:lncRNA